rnacentral:rRNA from 1 species
CCUACGGGAGGCAGCAGUGGGGAAUAUUGCACAAUGGGCGCAAGCCUGAUGCAGCCAUGCCGCGUGUGUGAAGAAGGCCUUCGGGUUGUAAAGCACUUUCAGCGGGGAGGAAGGGUCACUAGUUAAUACCUAGUGGCAUUGACGUUACUCGCAGAAGAAGCACCGGCUAACUCCGUGCCAGCAGCCGCGGUAAU